GUUGACCUCGGAUCAGUAGGACUUACCCGCUGAACUUAAGCAUAUCAAUAAGCGGAGGAAAAGAAACCAACAGGGAUUUGCCCUAGUAACGGCGAGUGAAGCGGCAGCAGCUCAAUUUGAAAUCUGGCUUUCCCCCCCCCCCGGCAGCAGCUCAAUUUGAAUCUGGCUUUCCCCCCCCCCGCGGGGUGCCCGAGUUGUAAUUUGCAGAGGAUGCCUCUGGCGCGGCGCCUCCCGAGUCCCCUGGAACGGGACGCCAUAGAGGGUGAGAGCCCCGUACGGUCGGCCGCCAAGCCUUUCUGUGAGGCUCCUUCGACGAGUCGAGUAGUUUGGGAAUGCUGCUCAAAAUGGGAGGUAUAUGUCUUCUAAAGCUAAAUACCGGCCAGAGACCGAUAGCGCACAAGUAGAGCGAUCGAAAGAUGAAAAGCACUUUGAAAAGAGGGUUAAACAAGUACGUGAAAUUGUUGAAAGGGGAAGCGCUCGCGACCAGACUUUCCGGGCCCCGGCGGAUCAUCCGGCGUUCCUCGCCGGUGCACUCCGCCGGCGCCCGGGGCCCAGCAUCGGCUCGCUGCGGGGGAUAAAGGCGGCGGGAAACGUUGGCCCCCUCCGCGGGUGUUAUAGCCCGCCGCGCAAUGCCCCGCGCCGGGCCGAGGAACCGCGCCCUAGGCAAGGAUGCUGGCGGUAAUGGUCGCUAGCGACCCGUCUUGAAACACGGACCAAGGAGUCGUCUUCGUAUGCGAGUGUUCGGGUGUCAAACCCCUGCGCGCAAUGAAAGUGAACGCGGGUGAGAGCCCUCGCGGGCGCAUCACCGACCGAUCCUGAAUGGUCACUCGGAUGGAUUUGAGCAAGAGCAUACGGGGCCGGACCCGAAAGAAGGUGAACUAUGCCUGUGUAGGGUGAAGCCAGAGGAAACUCUGGUGGAGGCUCGCAGCGGUUCUGACGUGCAAAUCGAUCGUCAAACAUGGGCAUGGGGGCGAAAGACUAAUCGAACCUUCUAGUAGC
rnacentral:rRNA from 1 species